GGGUGAUUAGCUCAGUUGGGAGAGCAUCGCCCUUACAAGGCGAGGGUCAAUGGUUCAAGUCCAGUAUCACCCACCA
rnacentral:tRNA from 1 species